rnacentral:snRNA from 1 species
AUGCUUCACAGCACAUAUACUAAUAUUGGAAUGAUACAGAGAAGAUUAGCACGGCCCCUGCACAAGGAUGCAUGCAAAUUCACAAAGCAUUCCAUAUUUUU